rnacentral:rRNA from 1 species
UGGGGAAUAUUGGACAAUGGGCGCAAGCCUGAUCCAGCCAUGCCGCGUGAGUGACGAAGGCCUUAGGGUUGUAAAGCUCUUUCGGCGGGGAAGAUAAUGACGGUACCCGCAGAAGAAGCCCCGGCUAACUCUGUGCCAGCAGCCGCGGUAAUACAGAGGGGGCAAGCGUUGUUCGGAAUCACUGGGCGUAAAGCGCACGUAGGUGGAUAGUUAAGUUCGGGGUGAAAUCCCAGGGCUCAACCCUGGAACUGCCUCGGAUACUGGCUAUCUCGAGUCCGGAAGAGGUGAGUGGAAUUCCUAGUGUAGAGGUGAAAUUCGUAGAUAUUAGGAAGAACACCGGUGGCGAAGGCGGCUCACUGGUCCGGUACUGACACUGAGGUGCGAAAGCGUGGGGAGCAAACAGGAUUAGAUACCCAAGUAGUCCCUGAGCGGGCUGGCAAGGCGCAU